rnacentral:SRP_RNA from 1 species
AAUCGGACUAGGUCGGGCAGUUAGGCCCUGCUCGCAACCCGCACUACGGUCUUCAGCGGGGGCCGAAUUCCGGGUGCGUCCGCGCCGACCGGCGCGGGCCCCGCAAGCCAACGUCGAAGCCUCGUCCGUCGGGGGCGGCGGUCCGCGGCUGUUCGUCUGCAGGGACGACCCGCCGCGGUUAAUCGGCGGCAGCCCGUCAGGCACGGAAGUGAGCAGCGGACCGCCGGACAGCCGUCGCUCGCCGGAUCGCGGGGUGGAGGAGGCACGCGGGCUUCCCCGCGCCGGAACGCCGGGCAACCCCGGGUCGUCCACUU